ensembl:lncRNA
AUAAUAAACUGUGUGAUCAGAGCAGAUUCUGGGAAUUACAUAUUAGCACUCACUGACUCAGACGGCACAGAAACAUCUAGAGAUCUUCAAGUGAUUGUUGAAGCUCCUAUUGGCUCAGUGGAAGUGUCAAUCAUCUGCUCCUCCAGUGGGGUGAUGAGGGUGUUCUGCUCCUCUGAGGGGGAUCAGCUCCUCUACAGCUGGACUCUGAAUGGAGAUCCACUGAUGGAUGGAAACAGCAGCAUUGAUCUGGAUGAGAGAACUGAUGGAGACAUCAGCUGCAGCGUGAAGAACCACGUCAGUCAAGCACAGAAGAACAUUAGACUCAAACCCUGUCCCGGACCAACUACUGCAGCUGUGACCUCUAGUUUGACCUCUACGUCGACACAGACAUCAGAAUAUGGUACGAGUUUCUCAUCAGCUGGUCUUGAAGUAAAAUGCAGUUUUGGUCAAUCUGAUCCCUGUUACGCAGCUCUGGGACACAAACUCAAUCUGCUGAUGGAGCGGGACACUAGAGAAUAUGACCUGAAGAUAAUAAAGAGAAUAAACAACACACAAGAUGAUCCAAUUUGUAGAGUAAAAUAUGGCAGGAUAAAGGAAUGUGAUCUUUAUAAUAACAGACCUGAAGUGAACGUCAUUAAUGGGACUGUGAUAAUAAACCGUGUGAUCAGAGCAGAUUCUGGGAAUUACAGAUUAACACUCUUUCACUCAGACGGCACAGAAACAUCUAGAGAUCUUCAAGUGAUUGUUGAAGCUCCUAUUGGCUCAGUGGAAGUGUCAAUCAUCUGCUCCUCCAGUGGGGUGAUGAGGGUGUUCUGCUCCUCUGAGGGGGAUCAGCUCCUCUACAGCUGGACUCUGAAUGGAGAUCCACUGAUGGAUGGAAACAGCAGCAUUGAUCUGGAUGAGGGAACUGAUGGAGACAUCAGCUGCAGCGUGAAGAACCACGUCAGUCACGCACAGAAGAACAUUAGAAUCAAACCCUGUCCUGGUCUGGAUCAGUUCUGCAGUUUUGGUCAAUCAGAUCCCUGUUACACAGCUCUGGAACACAAACUCAAUCUGCUGAUGGUGCGAGACGCUCGAGAAUAUGACCUGAGGUUAUGUCACAGAAUAAAUAACACACAAGAUGAUCCAGUUUGUAGAGUAAAAUAUGGCAGGAUAAAGGAAUGUGAUCUUUUUAAUAACAGAACUGAAGUGAACAUCAUUAAUGGGACUGUGAUAAUAAACCGUGUGAUCAGAGCAGAUUCUGGGAAUUACAGAUUAAGACUCACUGACUCAGACGGCACAGAAACAUCUAGAGAUCUUCAAGUGAUUGUUGAAGCUCCUAUUGGUUCAGUGGAAGUGUCAAUCAUCUGCUCCUCCAGUGGGGUGAUGAGGGUGUUCUGCUCCUCUGAGGGGGAUCAGCUCCUCUACAGCUGGACUCUGAAUGGAGAUCCACUGAUGGAUGGAAACAGCAGCAUUGAUCUGGAUGAGAGAACUGAUGGAGACAUCAGCUGCAGCGUGAAGAACCACGUCAGUCACGCACAGAAGAACAUUAGAGUCAAACCCUGUCCUGGACCAACUACUGCAGCUGUGACCUCUAGUUUGACCUCUACGUCGACACAGACAUCAGAAUAUGUUUUAAAAUUCUCUCUGAUUGCUUUGGGCUGCAUUGCUCUGAUCCUGAUUCUGCUGUUCAUCACAGUAUGUUACAUUUACAAGAAGAAGCAGCUCAAGUCAACACAAGUCCCUGCUGGAGAUACAGAGCUCAUAUACGCUGAUAUCUCUCAUGAGAAAAAGAGUGAAAAGAAGAAUACAGAAUCUUUCCUGGCUGCUGAUGUGGAAUACUCCGAGGUCCGAACGCAGACAAAGAGGAAGAAGAAGAAGAAGGAGGAGGAGGUUCAGUACGGCGAGGUGACAUUCACUCCGAACCACUCAAACGCUCCACAGCAGCAGCUUCAGGAGGAGUGUGUUUACUCGCAGGUACAGAGACACUAGUUUCACAGCAAAACUCGUGUAGGAUCGCACUUUCCCUGAGAAACCGGAUGCUUAUUUUCACUUAUGUUUGGCUUUGGGAGUUUUAUAGGUUAUAUAAAGCACAUAUCUCUUUGCGUUUGUAAAUUAUUUAGCUUGACAUGUUAACAAUGGUACUGUGUGUUGAUAUGUGGUGUUACGGGUUGUAUAGCGUGAGCUUUAACGUACAUGUCUGGGCUGAACUGUCAGAUGAGUAAACAAAACAAUGGAAAAAAGAGGAAACCAAUCGCACAUUAUUUCCCCUUGAACUUCUGUGCAAUUCAGUUUUUAGCGCUUCUCGAUUUGCAACUGCGACUAUACGAUGGCAAGAAAAACCUUGAAAGUUAGCUUUUAAUCAUGAAUCUCGAGGAGGUGAUUGAUGUGCACAAGUGCUCAAAAGUCAUGAAAACACACCUUGAUAGCACACGUACAAUACAGAGACGUCUAUUUGACGUCUGCAUUACAUCUGCAAGGCAUAUUUUUUUAGUGUUUGUUCAUCUGCAAUACGACUAUAGGACGUUUCCUAUCAGAUGUCAAAUAGACGUUAAUAAGAUGUCUUUAAGAUGUUUAUGAUUUAGAAUGAAUGUAAACUGACAUCUUAAAGACGUCUAUCAGAUGUUUGUACACAGCAGAUGCUUUCCAGAUGAAGCGAUCUUUGACAGACCUCUUGCAGACGUGAUGCAGUUUGGUGAUUUGGAAUUAACAUUUCAAAGCAAUUAAAGUCGGAAAGUCACAGAAAAUCUUAGCUUUGCUAGACUGAGUUAUGCAUUUCUGCAUUUGGCCGCCUGGAGUGAGUUGAAGCAGUCACAUGUUGUUAAUGGGGGCUUGUGGCAAAAAUGCAACCAAAAUUAACCAAAAUGCCCCACAAAUUCAAGAUAAAGGGGCAAAAAUUGCCCCUGCACAAUGCAACAAUGUACUACAGCUGUUGUGAUUAAAAUGAACUGCUCAUGCUGCAUCAGAUUGCAUUUUAUGCUUUUUUUAUUUUGCAGUGUUGAGCUUUAUAAGCAAUCACAUGCGUUUCCGUUGAGCUUAGGAAUGCAAUGGCCAAUCAGAGCUGCUUAGAUUAGUCAGUGCUCAAGACUCCGGAGUUGUUGUUGAUUAUAUUGCCGCACUGAACCCACAUCAUAAACAACAGUGCAGAUACGAUGUAAAUAAAAGAUUAAUUUCAUAGCAUCAGUUAUUAUAAUGGGAGGUUUUGCUCAACUUGUGCUAGUCUAGUCUAACGUCAUGGACCGACAUGUUUGUCUCUGAAGCCAUGAGACAAACUUUUUUUGAGACAAAAUUUUGAUUGAUUGAAGUAAUUGGUUAAAUUCAAGUAAUUGACAUUAAAAACAACACAGAUACAAUUAUUAAGGUGGUGAUAAAAACUGCCCUCACGAAUGUACAAAAUCAGUUAAAUAAUGACCCUGGUUUACAGAACCCUUCUGUUUACAGAUAAAUAUUGCAUUAAUAAUGUCUUAAAUUUUGUUCCUCGAGUACAGGGAAAGACCUGAGAGAGGCCAAAAAGGCCUGAUAAUGUCUAAAGGUUUGCACACAUAAGUCCUGUAGUGUUGGUUGAUAGUAAAUUGUAACCUAUUGGUUUCUACCAGAUAAACUAGUCAAGAGUUCAAUUCUUAAAUAAAAACUUCACAGCUUGAAUUUACAGUAAAUGUAUGUAAACACGUCUGCUAAAAGUGAUACUGAAUGUUGAUAUGUGGUGUAACGGGUUGUAUAGUGUGAGCUUUAACGUACAUGUCUGGGCUGAACUGUCAGAUGAGUAAGCAAAACAAUGGAAAAAAGAGGAAACCAAACACACAUUAUUUUCCCUCAAACUUCUGUGGACUCCUGUUUUUAGCGCUUCUUGAUUUGCAACUGCGACUAUAUGAUGGCAAGAAAAAGCAUACAUGAAAGUUAGCUUUUAAUCAUGAAUCUCGAGAAGGUGAUCGAUGUGCUCAAGUGUUCAAAAGUCAUGAAAACACACCCUGAUAGCACACGUACGUCACGGAGAUGUCUAUUUGACGUCUGCAUUACAUCUGCAAGACGUAUUUUUUAGAGUGUUUGUUCAUCUGCAAAAUGUCUAUAGGAAGUUUCCUAUCAGAUGUCAAAUACAUGUUAAUAAGAUGUCUUUAAGAUGUUUAUGAUUUAGAAUGCAUGUCCCUGAUUGCACAAAGAGACUCUAUCUGACCUCUGCAUUACAUCUGCAAGACGUAUUUUUUUUUAGUGUUUGUUCAUCUGCAAUACAUCUAUAGGACAUUUCCUACCAGAUGUCAAAUAGACAUUUAGAAGAUGUCUUUAAGAUGUUUAUGAUUUAGAAUGAAUGUAAACUGACAUCUUAAAGACGUCUAUCAGAUGUUUGUACACAGCGGAUGCUUUCCAGAUGAAGCGAUUUUUAUAUGUAUUCCAUUAAUCCGUAUUAAUAAUCAUUAUUACAAUAUCAAGAGGCAAUAAUCGACAAUAACGAAUGUUGUCAUAAUAUUGCAGCCAUAUUGGCUCCUGUUUUUAAAUGUAUAAUUAAGAUAUGAUUUCAAACAGUCAGUUGUUACUGGCAACAGUUUAAAGUAUUUUGAUUAAUUGAAGUAAUUUGUUAAAUUCAAGUAUUUGACAUUAAAGACAACACAGAUACAAUUAUUAAGGUGGUGAUAAAAACUGCCCUCACGAAUGUACAAAAUCAGUUAAUUAAUGACCCUGGUUUACAAAAACCUUCUGUUUACAGAUAAAUAUUGCAUUAAUAAUGUCUUAAAUUUCAUUCCUCGAGUUCGGGGAAAGACCUGGGAAAGGCCUGAUAAAUGUCUAAAGGUUUGCACACAUAAGUCCUGUAGUGUUGGUUGAUAGUAAAUUGUAACCUAUUCGUUUCUACCAGCUAAACUAGUCAAGAGUUCAAUUCUCAAAUAAAAACUUCAUAGCUUGAAUUUACAGUAAAUCUAUGUAAACACGUCUGCUAAAAGCAUAAAUGGAAAUGCACUCAGAUCAGUUGAAUCUUUGUUGCUUUCAGUGAAAAUUUGUUCAGUGAAAAGCUCUGUAUAUCAUACUAAGAGUAUGUAUAGAUGUAUAUAAAAUUGGUUUUAUAAGUUUGUACAAUUUUUGUCUGCAUACAUACAGUAUAUUGUAAUUAAAAUUGUAAUAUUCAUGUAAGUUAUAAUAUAAUAUUCAUGUAAGUUAUAGGCCAGAUCUUUAUAUGGAUAUUUAAGUUGGAUAUAUAAGUAUGUCAAGGUUUAUUUGCAUGCAUAUUGUACAGUCAUGUGGAGGGAUAUAUAUAUAUAUAUAUAUAUAUAUAUAUAUAUAUAUAUAUAUAUAUAUAUAUAUAUAUAUAUAUAUAUAUAUAUAUAUAUAUAUGUAUAUAUAUAUACACUUUUUCUGUUUUUCUGCUGAUUGAGAGUGUGUUUUUCAGUGUGUUAGAGUUCUGUUACAUCACUUCCUUCAGCUUGAGUUGUGUUUAUAAACGUAUGGUUGGUUAAACCAUUGUUUUGGCCGAACACUGUAGAUUAACACUAACUUUUGACCAGUUUUUAAUCUUUUGAAAUGGUGAGUUAGGAAAUCUUUACGAGGUCUGGGGUGGAUUUCUUAAAAGUGGUUUCCUGAUCGUGUCACGUGACUUCCUCUGUGUAAUAUUCCGUCUUUUGUAGCAGAAAUAAACUGCUGCAGAAAAGCCUGGUGCCAUGCAGAAUGUAACGAGUAAUUGCAUGAAUCUUUACAAAGGUACUGGAGUAAAGAGUACAUAUCUUGAUUAAAAAAAUGUAGUGAAGUAGAGAGUAAAAUUUGCUAAUACAUUUGAUACUCAGUUAAACUACAAAAAGAUACUCGAGGACAGUAACUAAUUGUGAAAUACAAGUAAUACAAGUAAAUACAAGUAAAGUGUCUGCUUUAAUCUUUCAAAUAAAAUGUCAAAAUAUGGGUGAAAUAAUCAUUCAGCGCAACGGAUUUAUGUGAAACACCAUACUUAUGCUGACCUGUAUCUGGUAAAAUAUAUGGAUAAAUAUAUAUAAUAAAUAUAUAGGGAAUGCCGAUGUAAACUGGCAAUGUUCCAAACCUCAACUUUUGGGUUAAAAAUUGCUGGGUUAGUCCAUAUUUGACCCAAAGUUGGGUUGAAACAACCCAGCAUUUUUUAGAGUGUGCAAUGGCAAAGACUUGGAAAGAUUUCAAAUGAAAAAAAAUCAUUAGCUUUUGAGGGCUGAACUUUGAUCCUUGAGUAGAGUCUUUUAACGAAAUCUAAUGAUUAUGCACUCAAAAUGAAAUGGAAAAAGUUUAUUUCUGCUACAAAAGAAGGAAUAUAACACACAAGGAAGUCACGUGACACGAUCAGGAAACCACUUUUAAGAAAUCCACCCCAGACCUAGUAAAGAUUUCCUAACUCACCAUUUCAAAAGAUUAAAAACUGAUCAAAAGUAAGCGUUAAUCUCCAGUGUUUGGCCAAAACAAUGGUUUAACCAACCAUACGUUUAUAAACAUCCAAGCAUUUUUUAGAGUGUGCCUGAGCAUAAGCCUGAUGAGAUUGUUUGGUUUAUGAACAGGUGUUACACUGAAUUAUAUUUUAAUGGAUGUCUUCUGUAAAUCAUGGUAAAAAUAUAUGUUUUCUGCACAACUGUUAACACACUUUCAUGAGAAAAUGAGAAAGGAAAUGACCAGAUGAGCGUUUUAUUUUCUAAAGUUUGAUUCUGCUUCAUUCUCUUGUUUUCUGCAUUGUUUCACACUCUCUGAGAUAAAAGCUUGUGUGUGUGAACUUAUGUAAAAUACUUCUGUUUGCUUCCACAAUAAAGAUACUGAAGUGUGAAAUGCAACAGAAGUCUCUUUAUUUGACGGAUGCGAUGUUGCACCAAUGGGCUGAAUAUUAUUUUAACAGCAGGAAACUGAC